rnacentral:rRNA from 1 species
AACGAACGCUGGCGGCGUGCCUAAUACAUGCAAGUCGAACGAGAAAGUGGCUUCGGCCAUGAGUAAAGUGGCAAACGGGUGAGUAAUACAUAGGCAACCUACCCUCGAGAUGGGGAUAACCUUCCGAAAGGAGGGCUAAUACCGAAUGAGACCACAGCUACCUCGGUAGCAGCGGUCAAAGAUGGCCUCUACUUGUAAGCUAUCGCUUGAGGAUGGACUUAUGCACCAUCAGCUAGUUGGUGAGGUAAUGGCUCACCAAGGCUUUGACGGUUAGCUGAUCUGAGAGGUUGAUC